GAUGAACGCUGGCGGCGUGCCUAAUACAUGCAAGUCGAGCGAAUGGAUUAAGAGCUUGCUCUUAUGAAGUUAGCGGCGGACGGGUGAGUAACACGUGGGUAACCUGCCCAUAAGACUGGGAUAACUCCGGGAAACCGGGGCUAAUACCGGAUAACAUUUUGAACCGCAUGGUUCGAAAUUGAAAGGCGGCUUCGGCUGUCACUUAUGGAUGGACCCGCGUCGCAUUAGCUAGUUGGUGAGGUAACGGCUCACCAAGGCAACGAUUCGUAGCCGAACUGAGAGGGUGAUCGGCAACACUGGGACUGGGACACGGCCCGGACUCCUACGGGAGGCAGCAGUAGGGAAUCUUCCUCAAUGGACGAAAGUCUGACGGAGCAACGCCGCGUGAGUGAUGAAGGCUUUCGGGUCGUAAAACUCUGUUGUUAGGGAAGAACAAGUGCUAGUUGAAUAAGCUGGCACCUUGACGGUACCUAACCAGAAAGCCACGGCUAACUACGUGCCAGCAGCCGCCGUAA
rnacentral:rRNA from 1 species